rnacentral:rRNA from 1 species
UUUUCCGCCGGCGACCGGCGCACGGGUGCGGAACGCGUAUGGAACCUGCCCCUGUCAGGGGAAUAGCCCAGGGAAACUUGGAUUAAUGCCCCAUGGUACCGCGAUAUCGCAUGAUAUUGCGGUUAAAGAUUUAUCGGACAGGGAUGGCCAUGCGUACCAUUAGUUAGUUGGUGGGGUAACGGCCCACCAAGGCAGCGAUGGUUAGGGGCCCUGAGAGGGGGAUCCCCCACACUGGUACUGAGACACGGACCAGACUCCUACGGGAGGCAGCAGUGAGGAAUAUUGGACAAUGGGCGGGAGCCUGAUCCAGCCAUGCCGCGUGCAGGAUGACGGCCCUAUGGGUUGUAAACUGCUUUUAUACGGGAAGAAAUGCGCCCACGUGUGGGCGUCUGACGGUACCGUAAGAAUAAGGACCGGCUAACUCCGUGCCAGCAGCCGCGGUAAUACGGAGGGUCCGAGCGUUAUCCGGAAUCAUUGGGUUUAAAGGGUCCGUAGGCGGGCCUGUAAGUCAGGGGUGAAAGUUUGUGGCUCAACCAUAAAAUUGCCUUUGAUACUGCAGGUCUUGAGUCAUGGUGGGGUCGCCGGAACAUGUGGU